rnacentral:lncRNA from 1 species
AAAACUGGCCCAAAUUUCAAGAAACUGCUAAUAUUGGCCCGGGAGAUAUUAGGUUAAAAAUCCGACUGCAUCAGAUUUUGUGAAACUGCUUUUUUUGGCCCAGGAUCUCAUGAAACUGCUCUUUUUCGUCGCCCGGGAACACUUGCGCGAAAAAUUCGAAUGCACCAAAACUGCCCUAAAAUUCAAGAAAUUGCUAAUAUUGGCCCGGGAGAUAUUAGGUUAAAAAUCCGACUGCAUCAGAUUUUGUGAAACUGCUUUUUUUGGCCCAGGAUCUCAUGAAACUGCUCUUUUUCGUCGCCCGGGAAAACUUGCGCGAAAAAUUCGAAUGCACCAAAACUGCCCAAAUUCAAGAAAUUGCUAAUAUUGGCCCGGGAGAUAUUAGGUUAAAAAUCCGACUGCAUCAGAUUUUGUGAAACUGCUUUUUUUGGCCCAGGAUCUCAUGAAACUGCUCUUUUUCGUCGCCCGGGAAAACUUGCGCGAAAAAUUCGAAUGCACCAAAACUGCCCAAAUUCAAGAAAUUGCUAAUAUUGGCCCGGGAGAUAUUAGGUUAAAAAUCCGACUGCAUCAGAUUUUGUGAAACUGCUUUUUUUGGCCCAGGAUCUCAUGAAACUGCUCUUUUUCGUCGCCCGGGAAAACUUGCGCGAAAAAUUCGAAUGCACCAAAACUGGCCCAAAUUUCAAGAAACUGCUAAUAUUGGCCCGGGAGAUAUUAGGUUAAAAAUCCGACUGCAUCAGAUUUUGUGAAACUGCUUUUUUUGGCCCAGGAUCUCAUGAAACUGCUCUUUUUCGUCGCCCGGGAAAACUUGCGCGAAAAAUUCGAAUGCACCAAAACUGCCCAAAUUCAAGAAAUUGCUAAUAUUGGCCCGGGAGAUAUUAGGUUAAAAAUCCGACUGCAUCAGAUUUUGUGAAACUGCUUUUUUUGGCCCAGGAUCUCAUGAAACUGCUCUUUUUCGUCGCCCGGGAAAACUUGCGCGAAAAAUUCGAAUGCACCAAAACUGGCCCAAAUUCAAGAAACUGCUAAUAUUGGCCCGGGAGAUAUUAGGUUAAAAAUCCGACUGCAUCAGAUUUUGUGAAACUGCUUUUUUUGGCCCAGGAUCUCAUGAAACUGCUCUUUUUCGUCGCCCGGGAAAACUUGCGCGAAAAAUUCGAAUGCACCAAAACUGCCCAAAUUCAAGAAAUUGCUAAUAUUGGCCCGGGAGAUAUUAGGUUAAAAAUCCGACUGCAUCAGAUUUUGUGAAACUGCUUUUUUUGGCCCAGGAUCUCAUGAAACUGCUCUUUUUCGUCGCCCGGGAAAACUUGCGCGAAAAAUUCGAAUGCACCAAAACUGGCCCAAAUUUCAAGAAACUGCUAAUAUUGGCCCGGGAGAUAUUAGGUUAAAAAUCCGACUGCAUCAGAUUUUGUGAAACUGCUUUUUUUGGCCCAGGAUCUCAUGAAACUGCUCUUUUUCGUCGCCCGGGAAAACUUGCGCGAAAAAUUCGAAUGCACCAAAACUGGCCCAAAUUUCAAGAAACUGCUAAUAUUGGCCCGGGAGAUAUUAGGUUAAAAAUCCGACUGCAUCAGAUUUUGUGAAACUGCUUUUUUUGGCCCAGGAUCUCAUGAAACUGCUCUUUUUCGUCGCCGGGAAAACUUGCGCGAAAAAUUCGAAUGCACCAAAACUGCCCUAAAAUUCAAGAAAUUGCUAAUAUUGGCCCGGGAGAUAUUAGGUUAAAAAUCCGACUGCAUCAGAUUUUGUGAAACUGCUUUUUUUGGCCCAGGAUCUCAUGAAACUGCUCUUUUUCGUCGCCCGGGAAAACUUGCGCGAAAAAUUCGAAUGCACCAAAACUGCCCAAAUUCAAGAAAUUGCUAAUAUUGGCCCGGGAGAUAUUAGGUUAAAAAUCCGACUGCAUCAGAUUUUGUGAAACUGCUUUUUUUGGCCCAGGAUCUCAUGAAACUGCUCUUUUUCGUCGCCCGGGAAAACUUGCGCGAAAAAUUCGAAUGCACCAAAACUGGCCCAAAUUUCAAGAAACUGCUAAUAUUGGCCCGGGAGAUAUUAGGUUAAAAAUCCGACUGCAUCAGAUUUUGUGAAACUGCUUUUUUUGGCCCAGGAUCUCAUGAAACUGCUCUUUUUCGUCGCCCGGGAACACUUGCGCGAAAAAUUCGAAUGCACCAAAACUGCCCUAAAAUUCAAGAAAUUGCUAAUAUUGGCCCGGGAGAUAUUAGGUUAAAAAUCCGACUGCAUCAGAUUUUGUGAAACUGCUUUUUUUGGCCCAGGAUCUCAUGAAACUGCUCUUUUUCGUCGCCGGGAAAACUUGCGCGAAAAUUCGAAUGCACCAAAACUGCCCAAAUUCAAGAAACUGCUAAUAUUGGCCCGGGAGAUAUUAGGUUAAAAAUCCGACUGCAUCAGAUUUUGUGAAACUGCUUUUUUUGGCCCAGGAUCUCAUGAAACUGCUCUUUUUCGUCGCCCGGGAAAACUUGCGCGAAAAAUUCGAAUGCACCAAAACUGGCCCAAAUUUCAAGAAACUGCUAAUAUUGGCCCGGGAGAUAUUAGGUUAAAAAUCCGACUGCAUCAGAUUUUGUGAAACUGCUUUUUUUGGCCCAGGAUCUCAUGAAACUGCUCUUUUUCGUCGCCCGGGAACACUUGCGCGAAAAAUUCGAAUGCACCAAAACUGGCCCAAAUUUCAAGAAACUGCUAAUAUUGGCCCGGGAGAUAUUAGGUUAAAAAUCCGACUGCAUCAGAUUUUGUGAAACUGCUUUUUUUGGCCCAGGAUCUCAUGAAACUGCUCUUUUUCGUCGCCCGGGAAAACUUGCGCGAAAAAUUCGAAUGCACCAAAACUGCCCAAAUUCAAGAAAUUGCUAAUAUUGGCCCGGGAGAUAUUAGGUUAAAAAUCCGACUGCAUCAGAUUUUGUGAAACUGCUUUUUUUGGCCCAGGAUCUCAUGAAACUGCUCUUUUUCGUCGCCCGGGAAAACUUGCGCGAAAAAUUCGAAUGCACCAAAACUGCCCAAAUUCAAGAAAUUGCUAAUAUUGGCCCGGGAGAUAUUAGGUUAAAAAUCCGACUGCAUCAGAUUUUGUGAAACUGCUUUUUUUGGCCCAGGAUCUCAUGAAACUGCUCUUUUUCGUCGCCCGGGAAAACUUGCGCGAAAAAUUCGAAUGCACCAAAACUGCCCAAAUUCAAGAAAUUGCUAAUAUUGGCCCGGGAGAUAUUAGGUUAAAAAUCCGACUGCAUCAGAUUUUGUGAAACUGCUUUUUUUGGCCCAGGAUCUCAUGAAACUGCUCUUUUUCGUCGCCCGGGAAAACUUGCGCGAAAAAUUCGAAUGCACCAAAACUGGCCCAAAUUUCAAGAAACUGCUAAUAUUGGCCCGGGAGAUAUUAGGUUAAAAAUCCGACUGCAUCAGAUUUUGUGAAACUGCUUUUUUUGGCCCAGGAUCUCAUGAAACUGCUCUUUUUCGUCGCCGGGAAAACUUGCGCGAAAAAUUCGAAUGCACCAAAACUGCCCUAAAAUUCAAGAAAUUGCUAAUAUUGGCCCGGGAGAUAUUAGGUUAAAAAUCCGACUGCAUCAGAUUUUGUGAAACUGCUUUUUUUGGCCCAGGAUCUCAUGAAACUGCUCUUUUUCGUCGCCCGGGAAAACUUGCGCGAAAAAUUCGAAUGCACCAAAACUGCCCAAAUUUCAAGAAACUGCUAAUAUUGGCCCGGGAGAUAUUAGGUUAAAAAUCCGACUGCAUCAGAUUUUGUGAAACUGCUUUUUUUGGCCCAGGAUCUCAUGAAACUGCUCUUUUUCGUCGCCGGGAAAACUUGCGCGAAAAAUUCGAAUGCACCAAAACUGCCCUAAAAUUCAAGAAAUUGCUAAUAUUGGCCCGGGAGAUAUUAGGUUAAAAAUCCGACUGCAUCAGAUUUUGUGAAACUGCUUUUUUUGGCCCAGGAUCUCAUGAAACUGCUCUUUUUCGUCGCCCGGGAAAACUUGCGCGAAAAAUUCGAAUGCACCAAAACUGCCCAAAUUUCAAGAAACUGCUAAUAUUGGCCCGGGAGAUAUUAGGUUAAAAAUCCGACUGCAUCAGAUUUUGUGAAACUGCUUUUUUUGGCCCAGGAUCUCAUGAAACUGCUCUUUUUCGUCGCCCGGGAAAACUUGCGCGAAAAAUUCGAAUGCACCAAAACUGCCCAAAUUCAAGAAAUUGCUAAUAUUGGCCCGGGAGAUAUUAGGUUAAAAAUCCGACUGCAUCAGAUUUUGUGAAACUGCUUUUUUUGGCCCAGGAUCUCAUGAAACUGCUCUUUUUCGUCGCCGGGAAAACUUGCGCGAAAAAUUCGAAUGCACCAAAACUGCCCUAAAAUUCAAGAAAUUGCUAAUAUUGGCCCGGGAGAUAUUAGGUUAAAAAUCCGACUGCAUCAGAUUUUGUGAAACUGCUUUUUUGGCCCAGGAUCUCAUGAAACUGCUCUUUUUCGUCGCCGGGAAAACUUGCGCAAAAUUCGAAUGCACCAAAACUGCCCAAAUUCAAGAAACUGCUAAUAUUGGCCCGGGAGAUAUUAGGUUAAAAAUCCGACUGCAUCAGAUUUUGUGAAACUGCUUUUUUUGGCCCAGGAUCUCAUGAAACUGCUCUUUUUCGUCGCCCGGGAAAACUUGCGCGAAAAAUUCGAAUGCACCAAAACUGCCCAAAUUUCAAGAAACUGCUAAUAUUGGCCCGGGAGAUAUUAGGUUAAAAAUCCGACUGCAUCAGAUUUUGUGAAACUGCUUUUUUUGGCCCAGGAUCUCAUGAAACUGCUCUUUUUCGUCGCCCGGGAAAACUUGCGCGAAAAAUUCGAAUGCACCAAAACUGCCCAAAUUUCAAGAAACUGCUAAUAUUGGCCCGGGAGAUAUUAGGUUAAAAAUCCGACUGCAUCAGAUUUUGUGAAACUGCUUUUUUUGGCCCAGGAUCUCAUGAAACUGCUCUUUUUCGUCGCCCGGGAAAACUUGCGCGAAAAAUUCGAAUGCACCAAAACUGCCCAAAUUCAAGAAAUUGCUAAUAUUGGCCCGGGAGAUAUUAGGUUAAAAAUCCGACUGCAUCAGAUUUUGUGAAACUGCUUUUUUUGGCCCAGGAUCUCAUGAAACUGCUCUUUUUCGUCGCCCGGGAAAACUUGCGCGAAAAAUUCGAAUGCACCAAAACUGGCCCAAAUUUCAAGAAACUGCUAAUAUUGGCCCGGGAGAUAUUAGGUUAAAAAUCCGACUGCAUCAGAUUUUGUGAAACUGCUUUUUUUGGCCCAGGAUCUCAUGAAACUGCUCUUUUUCGUCGCCCGGGAAAACUUGCGCGAAAAUUCGAAUGCACCAAAACUGCCCUAAAAUUCAAGAAACUGCUAAUAUUGGCCCGGGAGAUAUUAGGUUAAAAAUCCGACUGCAUCAGAUUUUGUGAAACUGCUUUUUUUGGCCCAGGAUCUCAUGAAACUGCUCUUUUUCGUCGCCCGGGAAAACUUGCGCGAAAAAUUCGAAUGCACCAAAACUGCCCAAAUUCAAGAAAUUGCUAAUAUUGGCCCGGGAGAUAUUAGGUUAAAAAUCCGACUGCAUCAGAUUUUGUGAAACUGCUUUUUUUGGCCCAGGAUCUCAUGAAACUGCUCUUUUUCGUCGCCCGGGAAAACUUGCGCGAAAAAUUCGAAUGCACCAAAACUGCCCAAAUUCAAGAAAUUGCUAAUAUUGGCCCGGGAGAUAUUAGGUUAAAAAUCCGACUGCAUCAGAUUUUGUGAAACUGCUUUUUUUGGCCCAGGAUCUCAUGAAACUGCUCUUUUUCGUCGCCGGGAAAACUUGCGCAAAAAUUCGAAUGCACCAAAACUGCCCAAAUUCAAGAAACUGCUAAUAUUGGCCCGGGAGAUAUUAGGUUAAAAAUCCGACUGCAUCAGAUUUUGUGAAACUGCUUUUUUUGGCCCAGGAUCUCAUGAAACUGCUCUUUUUCGUCGCCCGGGAAAACUUGCGCGAAAAAUUCGAAUGCACCAAAACUGGCCCAAAUUUCAAGAAACUGCUAAUAUUGGCCCGGGAGAUAUUAGGUUAAAAAUCCGACUGCAUCAGAUUUUGUGAAACUGCUUUUUUUGGCCCAGGAUCUCAUGAAACUGCUCUUUUUCGUCGCCCGGGAAAACUUGCGCGAAAAAUUCGAAUGCACCAAAACUGGCCCAAAUUUCAAGAAACUGCUAAUAUUGGCCCGGGAGAUAUUAGGUUAAAAAUCCGACUGCAUCAGAUUUUGUGAAACUGCUUUUUUGGCCCAGGAUCUCAUGAAACUGCUCUUUUUCGUCGCCCGGGAAAACUUGCGCGAAAAAUUCGAAUGCACCAAAACUGCCCAAAUUCAAGAAAUUGCUAAUAUUGGCCCGGGAGAUAUUAGGUUAAAAAUCCGACUGCAUCAGAUUUUGUGAAACUGCUUUUUUUGGCCCAGGAUCUCAUGAAACUGCUCUUUUUCGUCGCCGGGAAAACUUGCGCGAAAAAUUCGAAUGCACCAAAACUGCCCUAAAAUUCAAGAAAUUGCUAAUAUUGGCCCGGGAGAUAUUAGGUUAAAAAUCCGACUGCAUCAGAUUUUGUGAAACUGCUUUUUUUGGCCCAGGAUCUCAUGAAACUGCUCUUUUUCGUCGCCCGGGAAAACUUGCGCGAAAAUUCGAAUGCACCAAAACUGCCCUAAAAUUCAAGAAACUGCUAAUAUUGGCCCGGGAGAUAUUAGGUUAAAAAUCCGACUGCAUCAGAUUUUGUGAAACUGCUUUUUUUGGCCCAGGAUCUCAUGAAACUGCUCUUUUUCGUCGCCCGGGAAAACUUGCGCGAAAAAUUCGAAUGCACCAAAACUGGCCCAAAUUUCAAGAAACUGCUAAUAUUGGCCCGGGAGAUAUUAGGUUAAAAAUCCGACUGCAUCAGAUUUUGUGAAACUGCUUUUUUUGGCCCAGGAUCUCAUGAAACUGCUCUUUUUCGUCGCCCGGGAAAACUUGCGCGAAAAAUUCGAAUGCACCAAAACUGGCCCAAAUUUCAAGAAACUGCUAAUAUUGGCCCGGGAGAUAUUAGGUUAAAAAUCCGACUGCAUCAGAUUUUGUGAAACUGCUUUUUUUGGCCCAGGAUCUCAUGAAACUGCUCUUUUUCGUCGCCGGGAAAACUUGCGCGAAAAAUUCGAAUGCACCAAAACUGCCCUAAAAUUCAAGAAAUUGCUAAUAUUGGCCCGGGAGAUAUUAGGUUAAAAAUCCGACUGCAUCAGAUUUUGUGAAACUGCUUUUUUUGGCCCAGGAUCUCAUGAAACUGCUCUUUUUCGUCGCCCGGGAAAACUUGCGCGAAAAAUUCGAAUGCACCAAAACUGCCCAAAUUCAAGAAAUUGCUAAUAUUGGCCCGGGAGAUAUUAGGUUAAAAAUCCGACUGCAUCAGAUUUUGUGAAACUGCUUUUUUUGGCCCAGGAUCUCAUGAAACUGCUCUUUUUCGUCGCCCGGGAAAACUUGCGCGAAAAAUUCGAAUGCACCAAAACUGGCCCAAAUUUCAAGAAACUGCUAAUAUUGGCCCGGGAGAUAUUAGGUUAAAAAUCCGACUGCAUCAGAUUUUGUGAAACUGCUUUUUUUGGCCCAGGAUCUCAUGAAACUGCUCUUUUUCGUCGCCCGGGAAAACUUGCGCGAAAAAUUCGAAUGCACCAAAACUGCCCAAAUUCAAGAAAUUGCUAAUAUUGGCCCGGGAGAUAUUAGGUUAAAAAUCCGACUGCAUCAGAUUUUGUGAAACUGCUUUUUUUGGCCCAGGAUCUCAUGAAACUGCUCUUUUUCGUCGCCCGGGAAAACUUGCGCGAAAAAUUCGAAUGCACCAAAACUGCCCAAAUUCAAGAAAUUGCUAAUAUUGGCCCGGGAGAUAUUAGGUUAAAAAUCCGACUGCAUCAGAUUUUGUGAAACUGCUUUUUUUGGCCCAGGAUCUCAUGAAACUGCUCUUUUUCGUCGCCGGGAAAACUUGGCGAAAAAUUCGAAUGCACCAAAACUGCCCUAAAAUUCAAGAAACUGCUAAUAUUGGCCCGGGAGAUAUUAGGUUAAAAAUCCGACUGCAUCAGAUUUUGUGAAACUGCUUUUUUUGGCCCAGGAUCUCAUGAAACUGCUCUUUUUCGUCGCCCGGAAAACUUGCGCGAAAAAUUCGAAUGCACCAAAACUGCCCAAAUUUCAAGAAACUGCUAAUAUUGGCCCGGGAGAUAUUAGGUUAAAAAUCCGACUGCAUCAGAUUUUGUGAAACUGCUUUUUUGGCCCAGGAUCUCAUGAAACUGCUCUUUUUCGUCGCCCGGGAAAACUUGCGCGAAAAAUUCGAAUGCACCAAAACUGCCCAAAUUCAAGAAAUUGCUAAUAUUGGCCCGGGAGAUAUUAGGUUAAAAAUCCGACUGCAUCAGAUUUUGUGAAACUGCUUUUUUUGGCCCAGGAUCUCAUGAAACUGCUCUUUUUCGUCGCCCGGGAAAACUUGCGCGAAAAUUCGAAUGCACCAAAACUGGCCCAAAUUCAAGAAACUGCUAAUAUUGGCCCGGGAGAUAUUAGGUUAAAAAUCCGACUGCAUCAGAUUUUGUGAAACUGCUUUUUUUGGCCCAGGAUCUCAUGAAACUGCUCUUUUUCGUCGCCCGGGAAAACUUGCGCGAAAAAUUCGAAUGCACCAAAACUGCCCAAAUUCAAGAAAUUGCUAAUAUUGGCCCGGGAGAUAUUAGGUUAAAAAUCCGACUGCAUCAGAUUUUGUGAAACUGCUUUUUUUGGCCCAGGAUCUCAUGAAACUGCUCUUUUUCGUCGCCCGGGAAAACUUGCGCGAAAAAUUCGAAUGCACCAAAACUGCCCAAAUUUCAAGAAACUGCUAAUAUUGGCCCGGGAGAUAUUAGGUUAAAAAUCCGACUGCAUCAGAUUUUGUGAAACUGCUUUUUUUGGCCCAGGAUCUCAUGAAACUGCUCUUUUUCGUCGCCCGGGAAAACUUGCGCGAAAAAUUCGAAUGCACCAAAACUGGCCCAAAUUUCAAGAAACUGCUAAUAUUGGCCCGGGAGAUAUUAGGUUAAAAAUCCGACUGCAUCAGAUUUUGUGAAACUGCUUUUUUUGGCCCAGGAUCUCAUGAAACUGCUCUUUUUCGUCGCCCGGGAAAACUUGCGCGAAAAAUUCGAAUGCACCAAAACUGGCCCAAAUUUCAAGAAACUGCUAAUAUUGGCCCGGGAGAUAUUAGGUUAAAAAUCCGACUGCAUCAGAUUUUGUGAAACUGCUUUUUUUGGCCCAGGAUCUCAUGAAACUGCUCUUUUUCGUCGCCCGGGAAAACUUGCGCGAAAAAUUCGAAUGCACCAAAACUGCCCAAAUUUCAAGAAACUGCUAAUAUUGGCCCGGGAGAUAUUAGGUUAAAAAUCCGACUGCAUCAGAUUUUGUGAAACUGCUUUUUUUGGCCCAGGAUCUCAUGAAACUGCUCUUUUUCGUCGCCCGGGAAAACUUGCGCGAAAAAUUCGAAUGCACCAAAACUGCCCAAAUUCAAGAAAUUGCUAAUAUUGGCCCGGGAGAUAUUAGGUUAAAAAUCCGACUGCAUCAGAUUUUGUGAAACUGCUUUUUUGGCCCAGGAUCUCAUGAAACUGCUCUUUUUCGUCGCCGGGAAAACUUGCGCGAAAAAUUCGAAUGCACCAAAACUGGCCCAAAUUCAAGAAACUGCUAAUAUUGGCCCGGGAGAUAUUAGGUUAAAAAUCCGACUGCAUCAGAUUUUGUGAAACUGCUUUUUUUGGCCCAGGAUCUCAUGAAACUGCUCUUUUUCGUCGCCCGGGAAAACUUGCGCGAAAAAUUCGAAUGCACCAAAACUGGCCCAAAUUUCAAGAAACUGCUAAUAUUGGCCCGGGAGAUAUUAGGUUAAAAAUCCGACUGCAUCAGAUUUUGUGAAACUGCUUUUUUUGGCCCAGGAUCUCAUGAAACUGCUCUUUUUCGUCGCCGGGAAAACUUGCGCAAAAAUUCGAAUGCACCAAAACUGCCCAAAUUCAAGAAACUGCUAAUAUUGGCCCGGGAGAUAUUAGGUUAAAAAUCCGACUGCAUCAGAUUUUGUGAAACUGCUUUUUUUGGCCCAGGAUCUCAUGAAACUGCUCUUUUUCGUCGCCGGGAAAACUUGCGCAAAAAUUCGAAUGCACCAAAACUGCCCAAAUUCAAGAAACUGCUAAUAUUGGCCCGGGAGAUAUUAGGUUAAAAAUCCGACUGCAUCAGAUUUUGUGAAACUGCUUUUUUUGGCCCAGGAUCUCAUGAAACUGCUCUUUUUCGUCGCCGGGAAAACUUGCGCGAAAAAUUCGAAUGCACCAAAACUGGCCCAAAUUUCAAGAAACUGCUAAUAUUGGCCCGGGAGAUAUUAGGUUAAAAAUCCGACUGCAUCAGAUUUUGUGAAACUGCUUUUUUUGGCCCAGGAUCUCAUGAAACUGCUCUUUUUCGUCGCCCGGGAAAACUUGCGCGAAAAAUUCGAAUGCACCAAAACUGGCCCAAAUUUCAAGAAACUGCUAAUAUUGGCCCGGGAGAUAUUAGGUUAAAAAUCCGACUGCAUCAGAUUUUGUGAAACUGCUUUUUUUGGCCCAGGAUCUCAUGAAACUGCUCUUUUUCGUCGCCGGGAAAACUUGCGCGAAAAAUUCGAAUGCACCAAAACUGCCCAAAUUCAAGAAACUGCUAAUAUUGGCCCGGGAGAUAUUAGGUUAAAAAUCCGACUGCAUCAGAUUUUGUGAAACUGCUUUUUUUGGCCCAGGAUCUCAUGAAACUGCUCUUUUUCGUCGCCCGGGAAAACUUGCGCGAAAAAUUCGAAUGCACCAAAACUGCCCAAAUUUCAAGAAACUGCUAAUAUUGGCCCGGGAGAUAUUAGGUUAAAAAUCCGACUGCAUCAGAUUUUGUGAAACUGCUUUUUUUGGCCCAGGAUCUCAUGAAACUGCUCUUUUUCGUCGCCGGGAAAACUUGCGCGAAAAAUUCGAAUGCACCAAAACUGCCCAAAUUCAAGAAACUGCUAAUAUUGGCCCGGGAGAUAUUAGGUUAAAAAUCCGACUGCAUCAGAUUUUGUGAAACUGCUUUUUUUGGCCCAGGAUCUCAUGAAACUGCUCUUUUUCGUCGCCCGGGAAAACUUGCGCGAAAAAUUCGAAUGCACCAAAACUGGCCCAAAUUUCAAGAAACUGCUAAUAUUGGCCCGGGAGAUAUUAGGUUAAAAAUCCGACUGCAUCAGAUUUUGUGAAACUGCUUUUUUUGGCCCAGGAUCUCAUGAAACUGCUCUUUUUCGUCGCCCGGGAAAACUUGCGCGAAAAAUUCGAAUGCACCAAAACUGCCCUAAAAUUCAAGAAAUUGCUAAUAUUGGCCCGGGAGAUAUUAGGUUAAAAAUCCGACUGCAUCAGAUUUUGUGAAACUGCUUUUUUUGGCCCAGGAUCUCAUGAAACUGCUCUUUUUCGUCGCCCGGGAAAACUUGCGCGAAAAAUUCGAAUGCACCAAAACUGCCCUAAAAUUCAAGAAAUUGCUAAUAUUGGCCCGGGAGAUAUUAGGUUAAAAAUCCGACUGCAUCAGAUUUUGUGAAACUGCUUUUUUUGGCCCAGGAUCUCAUGAAACUGCUCUUUUUCGUCGCCCGGGAAAACUUGCGCGAAAAAUUCGAAUGCACCAAAACUGCCCUAAAAUUCAAGAAAUUGCUAAUAUUGGCCCGGGAGAUAUUAGGUUAAAAAUCCGACUGCAUCAGAUUUUGUGAAACUGCUUUUUUUGGCCCAGGAUCUCAUGAAACUGCUCUUUUUCGUCGCCCGGGAAAACUUGCGCAAAAAUUCGAAUGCACCAAAACUGGCCCAAAUUCAAGAAACUGCUAAUAUUGGCCCGGGAGAUAUUAGGUUAAAAAUCCGACUGCAUCAGAUUUUGUGAAACUGCUUUUUUUGGCCCAGGAUCUCAUGAAACUGCUCUUUUUCGUCGCCCGGGAAAACUUGCGCGAAAAAUUCGAAUGCACCAAAACUGCCCUAAAAUUCAAGAAAUUGCUAAUAUUGGCCCGGGAGAUAUUAGGUUAAAAAUCCGACUGCAUCAGAUUUUGUGAAACUGCUUUUUUUGGCCCAGGAUCUCAUGAAACUGCUCUUUUUCGUCGCCGGGAAAACUUGCGCGAAAAAUUCGAAUGCACCAAAACUGCCCAAAUUCAAGAAACUGCUAAUAUUGGCCCGGGAGAUAUUAGGUUAAAAAUCCGACUGCAUCAGAUUUUGUGAAACUGCUUUUUUUGGCCCAGGAUCUCAUGAAACUGCUCUUUUUCGUCGCCCGGGAAAACUUGCGCGAAAAAUUCGAAUGCACCAAAACUGCCCAAAUUUCAAGAAACUGCUAAUAUUGGCCCGGGAGAUAUUAGGUUAAAAAUCCGACUGCAUCAGAUUUUGUGAAACUGCUUUUUUUGGCCCAGGAUCUCAUGAAACUGCUCUUUUUCGUCGCCGGGAAAACUUGCGCAAAAAUUCGAAUGCACCAAAACUGCCCAAAUUCAAGAAACUGCUAAUAUUGGCCCGGGAGAUAUUAGGUUAAAAAUCCGACUGCAUCAGAUUUUGUGAAACUGCUUUUUUUGGCCCAGGAUCUCAUGAAACUGCUCUUUUUCGUCGCCCGGGAAAACUUGCGCGAAAAAUUCGAAUGCACCAAAACUGGCCCAAAUUUCAAGAAACUGCUAAUAUUGGCCCGGGAGAUAUUAGGUUAAAAAUCCGACUGCAUCAGAUUUUGUGAAACUGCUUUUUUUGGCCCAGGAUCUCAUGAAACUGCUCUUUUUCGUCGCCCGGGAAAACUUGCGCGAAAAAUUCGAAUGCACCAAAACUGCCCUAAAAUUCAAGAAACUGCUAAUAUUGGCCCGGGAGAUAUUAGGUUAAAAAUCCGACUGCAUCAGAUUUUGUGAAACUGCUUUUUUUGGCCCAGGAUCUCAUGAAACUGCUCUUUUUCGUCGCCCGGGAAAACUUGCGCGAAAAUUCGAAUGCACCAAAACUGCCCUAAAAUUCAAGAAACUGCUAAUAUUGGCCCGGGAGAUAUUAGGUUAAAAAUCCGACUGCAUCAGAUUUUGUGAAACUGCUUUUUUUGGCCCAGGAUCUCAUGAAACUGCUCUUUUUCGUCGCCGGGAAAACUUGCGCGAAAAAUUCGAAUGCACCAAAACUGCCCAAAUUUCAAGAAACUGCUAAUAUUGGCCCGGGAGAUAUUAGGUUAAAAAUCCGACUGCAUCAGAUUUUGUGAAACUGCUUUUUUUGGCCCAGGAUCUCAUGAAACUGCUCUUUUUCGUCGCCCGGGAAAACUUGCGCAAAAAAUUCGAAUGCACCAAAACUGCCCAAAUUUCAAGAAACUGCUAAUAUUGGCCCGGGAGAUAUUAGGUUAAAAAUCCGACUGCAUCAGAUUUUGUGAAACUGCUUUUUUUGGCCCAGGAUCUCAUGAAACUGCUCUUUUUCGUCGCCCGGGAAAACUUGCGCGAAAAAUUCGAAUGCACCAAAACUGGCCCAAAUUCAAGAAACUGCUAAUAUUGGCCCGGGAGAUAUUAGGUUAAAAAUCCGACUGCAUCAGAUUUUGUGAAACUGCUUUUUUUGGCCCAGGAUCUCAUGAAACUGCUCUUUUUCGUCGCCCGGGAAAACUUGCGCGAAAAAUUCGAAUGCACCAAAACUGGCCCAAAUUCAAGAAACUGCUAAUAUUGGCCCGGGAGAUAUUAGGUUAAAAAUCCGACUGCAUCAGAUUUUGUGAAACUGCUUUUUUUGGCCCAGGAUCUCAUGAAACUGCUCUUUUCGUCGCCCGGGAAAACUUGCGCGAAAAAUUCGAAUGCACCAAAACUGCCCAAAUUCAAGAAACUGCUAAUAUUGGCCCGGGAGAUAUUAGGUUAAAAAUCCGACUGCAUCAGAUUUUGUGAAACUGCUUUUUUUGGCCCAGGAUCUCAUGAAACUGCUCUUUUUCGUCGCCGGGAAAACUUGCGCGAAAAAUUCGAAUGCACCAAAACUGCCCAAAUUCAAGAAACUGCUAAUAUUGGCCCGGGAGAUAUUAGGUUAAAAAUCCGACUGCAUCAGAUUUUGUGAAACUGCUUUUUUUGGCCCAGGAUCUCAUGAAACUGCUCUUUUUCGUCGCCGGGAAAACUUGGCAAAAAUUCGAAUGCACCAAAACUGCCCAAAUUCAAGAAACUGCUAAUAUUGGCCCGGGAGAUAUUAGGUUAAAAAUCCGACUGCAUCAGAUUUUGUGAAACUGCUUUUUUUGGCCCAGGAUCUCAUGAAACUGCUCUUUUUCGUCGCCCGGGAAAACUUGCGCGAAAAAUUCGAAUGCACCAAAACUGGCCCAAAUUUCAAGAAACUGCUAAUAUUGGCCCGGGAGAUAUUAGGUUAAAAAUCCGACUGCAUCAGAUUUUGUGAAACUGCUUUUUUUGGCCCAGGAUCUCAUGAAACUGCUCUUUUUCGUCGCCCGGGAAAACUUGCGCAAAAAAUUCGAAUGCACCAAAACUGCCCAAAUUUCAAGAAACUGCUAAUAUUGGCCCGGGAGAUAUUAGGUUAAAAAUCCGACUGCAUCAGAUUUUGUGAAACUGCUUUUUUUGGCCCAGGAUCUCAUGAAACUGCUCUUUUUCGUCGCCCGGGAAAACUUGCGCAAAAAAUUCGAAUGCACCAAAACUGCCCUAAAAUUCAAGAAAUUGCUAAUAUUGGCCCGGGAGAUAUUAGGUUAAAAAUCCGACUGCAUCAGAUUUUGUGAAACUGCUUUUUUUGGCCCAGGAUCUCAUGAAACUGCUCUUUUUCGUCGCCGGGAAAACUUGCGCGAAAAAUUCGAAUGCACCAAAACUGCCCAAAUUUCAAGAAACUGCUAAUAUUGGCCCGGGAGAUAUUAGGUUAAAAAUCCGACUGCAUCAGAUUUUGUGAAACUGCUUUUUUUGGCCCAGGAUCUCAUGAAACUGCUCUUUUUCGUCGCCCGGGAAAACUUGCGCGAAAAAUUCGAAUGCACCAAAACUGCCCUAAAAUUCAAGAAAGUGCUAAUAUUGGCCCCGGAGAUAUUAGGUUAAAAAUCCGACUGCAUCAGAUUUUGUGAAACUGCUUUUUUUGGCCCAGGAUCUCAUGAAACUGCUCUUUUUCGUCGCCCGGGAAAACUUGCGCGAAAAAUUCGAAUGCACCAAAACUGGCCCAAAUUUCAAGAAACUGCUAAUAUUGGCCCGGGAGAUAUUAGGUUAAAAAUCCGACUGCAUCAGAUUUUGUGAAACUGCUUUUUUUGGCCCAGGAUCUCAUGAAACUGCUCUUUUUCGUCGCCCGGGAAAACUUGCGCGAAAAAUUCGAAUGCACCAAAACUGCCCAAAUUUCAAGAAACUGCUAAUAUUGGCCCGGGAGAUAUUAGGUUAAAAAUCCGACUGCAUCAGAUUUUGUGAAACUGCUUUUUUUGGCCCAGGAUCUCAUGAAACUGCUCUUUUUCGUCGCCCGGGAAAACUUGCGCGAAAAAUUCGAAUGCACCAAAACUGCCCAAAUUUCAAGAAACUGCUAAUAUUGGCCCGGGAGAUAUUAGGUUAAAAAUCCGACUGCAUCAGAUUUUGUGAAACUGCUUUUUUUGGCCCAGGAUCUCAUGAAACUGCUCUUUUUCGUCGCCGGGAAAACUUGCGCAAAAAUUCGAAUGCACCAAAACUGCCCAAAUUCAAGAAACUGCUAAUAUUGGCCCGGGAGAUAUUAGGUUAAAAAUCCGACUGCAUCAGAUUUUGUGAAACUGCUUUUUUUGGCCCAGGAUCUCAUGAAACUGCUCUUUUUCGUCGCCCGGGAAAACUUGCGCGAAAAAUUCGAAUGCACCAAAACUGGCCCAAAUUUCAAGAAACUGCUAAUAUUGGCCCGGGAGAUAUUAGGUUAAAAAUCCGACUGCAUCAGAUUUUGUGAAACUGCUUUUUUUGGCCCAGGAUCUCAUGAAACUGCUCUUUUUCGUCGCCCGGGAAAACUUGCGCGAAAAAUUCGAAUGCACCAAAACUGGCCCAAAUUCAAGAAACUGCUAAUAUUGGCCCGGGAGAUAUUAGGUUAAAAAUCCGACUGCAUCAGAUUUUGUGAAACUGCUUUUUUUGGCCCAGGAUCUCAUGAAACUGCUCUUUUUCGUCGCCGGGAAAACUUGCGCGAAAAAUUCGAAUGCACCAAAACUGCCCAAAUUUCAAGAAACUGCUAAUAUUGGCCCGGGAGAUAUUAGGUUAAAAAUCCGACUGCAUCAGAUUUUGUGAAACUGCUUUUUUGGCCCAGGAUCUCAUGAAACUGCUCUUUUUCGUCGCCGGGACACUUGCGCGAAAAAUUCGAAUGCACCAAAACUGCCCAAAUUCAAGAAACUGCUAAUAUUGGCCCGGGAGAUAUUAGGUUAAAAAUCCGACUGCAUCAGAUUUUGUGAAACUGCUUUUUUUGGCCCAGGAUCUCAUGAAACUGCUCUUUUUCGUCGCCCGGGAAAACUUGCGCGAAAAAUUCGAAUGCACCAAAACUGGCCCAAAUUUCAAGAAACUGCUAAUAUUGGCCCGGGAGAUAUUAGGUUAAAAAUCCGACUGCAUCAGAUUUUGUGAAACUGCUUUUUUUGGCCCAGGAUCUCAUGAAACUGCUCUUUUUCGUCGCCGGGAAAACUUGCGCGAAAAAUUCGAAUGCACCAAAACUGCCCAAAUUUCAAGAAACUGCUAAUAUUGGCCCGGGAGAUAUUAGGUUAAAAAUCCGACUGCAUCAGAUUUUGUGAAACUGCUUUUUUUGGCCCAGGAUCUCAUGAAACUGCUCUUUUUCGUCGCCGGGAAAACUUGCGCAAAAAUUCGAAUGCACCAAAACUGCCCAAAUUUCAAGAAACUGCUAAUAUUGGCCCGGGAGAUAUUAGGUUAAAAAUCCGACUGCAUCAGAUUUUGUGAAACUGCUUUUUUUGGCCCAGGAUCUCAUGAAACUGCUCUUUUUCGUCGCCGGGAAAACUUGCGCAAAAAUUCGAAUGCACCAAAACUGCCCAAAUUCAAGAAACUGCUAAUAUUGGCCCGGGAGAUAUUAGGUUAAAAAUCCGACUGCAUCAGAUUUUGUGAAACUGCUUUUUUUGGCCCAGGAUCUCAUGAAACUGCUCUUUUUCGUCGCCCGGGAAAACUUGCGCGAAAAAUUCGAAUGCACCAAAACUGCCCUAAAAUUCAAGAAACUGCUAAUAUUGGCCCGGGAGAUAUUAGGUUAAAAAUCCGACUGCAUCAGAUUUUGUGAAACUGCUUUUUUUGGCCCAGGAUCUCAUGAAACUGCUCUUUUUCGUCGCCGGGAAAACUUGCGCAAAAAUUCGAAUGCACCAAAACUGCCCAAAUUCAAGAAACUGCUAAUAUUGGCCCGGGAGAUAUUAGGUUAAAAAUCCGACUGCAUCAGAUUUUGUGAAACUGCUUUUUUUGGCCCAGGAUCUCAUGAAACUGCUCUUUUUCGUCGCCGGGAAAACUUGCGCGCAAAAUUCGAAUGCACCAAAACUGCCCAAAUUCAAGAAACUGCUAAUAUUGGCCCGGGAGAUAUUAGGUUAAAAAUCCGACUGCAUCAGAUUUUGUGAAACUGCUUUUUUUGGCCCAGGAUCUCAUGAAACUGCUCUUUUUCGUCGCCCGGGAAAACUUGCGCGAAAAAUUCGAAUGCACCAAAACUGCCCUAAAAUUCAAGAAACUGCUAAUAUUGGCCCGGGAGAUAUUAGGUUAAAAAUCCGACUGCAUCAGAUUUUGUGAAACUGCUUUUUUUGGCCCAGGAUCUCAUGAAACUGCUCUUUUUCGUCGCCCGGGAAAACUUGCGCGAAAAAUUCGAAUGCACCAAAACUGCCCUAAAAUUCAAGAAACUGCUAAUAUUGGCCCGGGAGAUAUUAGGUUAAAAAUCCGACUGCAUCAGAUUUUGUGAAACUGCUUUUUUUGGCCCAGGAUCUCAUGAAACUGCUCUUUUUCGUCGUCCGGGAAAACUUGCGCGAACAAUUCGAAUGCACCAAAACUGCCCAAAAUUCAAGAAACUGCUAAUAUUGGCCCGGGAGAUAUUAGGUUAAAAAUCCGACUGCAUCAGAUUUUGUGAAACUGCUUUUUUUGGCCCAGGAUCUCAUGAAACUGCUCUUUUUCGUCGCCCGGGAAAACUUGCGCGAAAAAUUCGAAUGCACCAAAACUGGCCCAAAUUUCAAGAAACUGCUAAUAUUGGCCCGGGAGAUAUUAGGUUAAAAAUCCGACUGCAUCAGAUUUUGUGAAACUGCUUUUUUUGGCCCAGGAUCUCAUGAAACUGCUCUUUUUCGUCGCCGGGAAAACUUGUGCUAAUAAUUCGAAUGCACCAAAACUGGCCCAAAUUUUAAGAAACUGCUAAUAUUGGCCCGGGAGAUAUUAGGUUAAAAAUCCGACUGCAUCAGAUUUUGUGAAACUGCUUUUUUUGGCCCAGGAUCUCAUGAAACUGCUUUUUUCGUCGUCCGGGAAAACUUGUGCUAAUAAUUCAAAUGCACCAAAACUGCCCCAAAUUCAAGAAACUGCUAAUAUUGGCCCGGGAGAUAUUAGGUUAAAAAUCCGACUGCAUCAGAUUUUGUGAAACUGCUUUUUUGGCCCAGGAUCUCAUGAAACUGCUCUUUUUCGUCGCCCGGGAAAACUUGCGCGAAAAAUUCGAAUGCACCAAAACUGGCCCAAAUUUCAAGAAACUGCUAAUAUUGGCCCGGGAGAUAUUAGGUUAAAAAUCCGACUGCAUCAGAUUUUGUGAAACUGCUUUUUUUGGCCCAGGAUCUCAUGAAACUGCUCUUUUUCGUCGCCGGGAAAACUUGUGCUAAAAAUUCGAAUGCACCAAAACUGGCCCAAAUUUCAAGAAACUGCUAAUAUUGGCCCGGAGAUAUUAGGUUAAAAAUCCGACUGCAUCAGAUUUUGUGAAACUGCUUUUUUUGGCCCAGGAUCUCAUGAAACUGAUAUUUUUCGUCGUCCGGGAAAACUUGUGCAAAAAUUCAAUGCACCAAAACUGCCCAAAUUUCAAGAAACUGCUAAUAUUGGCCCGGAGAUAUUAGGUUAAAAAUCCGACUGCAUCAGAUUUUGUGAAACUGCUUUUUUGGCCCAGGAUCUCAUGAAACUGCUCUUUUUCGUCGCCGGGAAAACUUGGCAAAAAUUCGAAUGCACCAAAACUGCCCAAAUUCAAGAAACUGCUAAUAUUGGCCCGGGAGAUAUUAGGUUAAAAAUCCGACUGCAUCAGAUUUUGUGAAACUGCUUUUUUUGGCCCAGGAUCUCAUGAAACUGCUUUUUUUCGUCGCCGGGAAAACUUGUGCUAAAAUUCGAAUGCACCAAAACUGACCCAAAAUUCAAGAAACUGCUAAUAUUGGCCCGGGAGAUAUUAGGUUAAAAAUCCGACUGCAUCAGAUUUUGUGAAACUGCUUUUUUUGGCCCAGGAUCUCAUGAAACUGCUCUUUUUCGUCGCCCGGGAAAACUUGUGCGAAAAAUUCGAAUGCACCAAAACUGCCCAAAUUUCAAGAAACUGCUAAUAUUGGCCCGGGAGAUAUUAGGUUAAAAAUCCGACUGCAUCAGAUUUUGUGAAACUGCUUUUUUGGCCCAGGAUCUCAUGAAACUGCUCUUUUUCGUCGCCCGGGAAAACUUGUGCUAAAAAUUCGAAUGCACCAAAACUGCCCAAAUUCAAGAAACUGCUAAUAUUGGCCCGGGAGAUAUUAGGUUAAAAAUCCGACUGCAUCAGAUUUUGUGAAACUGCUUUUUUUGGCCCAGGAUCUCAUGAAACUGCUCUUUUUCGUCCCGGGAAAACUUGUGCUAAAAAUUCGAAUGCACCAAAACUGCCCAAAUUCAAGAAACUGCUAAUAUUGGCCGGGAGAUAUUAGGUUAAAAAUCCGACUGCAUCAGAUUUUGUGAAACUGCUUUUUUUGGCCCAGGAUCUCAUGAAACUGCUCUUUUUCGUCGCCGGGAAAACUUGCGCGAAAAAUUCGAAUGCACCAAAACUGCCCAAAUUCAAGAAACUGCUAAUAUUGGCCCGGGAGAUAUUAGGUUAAAAAUCCGACUGCAUCAGAUUUUGUGAAACUGCUUUUUUUGGCCCAGGAUCUCAUGAAACUGCUCUUUUUCGUCGCCCGGGAAAACUUGCGCGAAAAAUUCGAAUGCACCAAAACUGCCCUAAAAUUCAAGAAACUGCUAAUAUUGGCCCGGGAGAUAUUAGGUUAAAAAUCCGACUGCAUCAGAUUUUGUGAAACUGCUUUUUUUGGCCCAGGACUCAUGAAACUGCUCUUUUUCUCGUCCAGGAAAACUUGUGCUAAUAAUUCAAAUGCACCAAAACUGCCCCAAAUUCAAGAAACUGCUAAUAUUGGCCCGGGAGAUAUUAGGUUAAAAAUCCGACUGCAUCAGAUUUUGUGAAACUGCUUUUUUUGGCCCAGGAUCUCAUGAAACUGCUAUUUUUCGUCGUCCGGGAAAACUUGUGCUAAAAUUCGAAUGCACCAAAACUGCCCAAAUUCAAGAAACUGCUAAUAUUGGCCCGGGAGAUAUUAGGUUAAAAAUCUGACUGCAUCAGAUUUUGUGAAACUGCUUUUUUUGGCCCAGGAUCUCAUGAAACUGCUCUUUUUCGUCGCCCGGGAAAACUUGCGCGAAAAAUUCGAAUGCACCAAAACUGGCCCAAAUUUCAAGAAACUGCUAAUAUUGGCCCGGGAGAUAUUAGGUUAAAAAUCCGACUGCAUCAGAUUUUGUGAAACUGCUUUUUUUGGCCCAGGAUCUCAUGAAACUGCUCUUUUUCGUCGUCCGGGAAAACUUGUGCUAAUAAUUCGAAUGCACCAAAACUGCCCAAAUUCAAGAAACUGCUAAUAUUGGCCGGAGAUAUUAGGUUAAAAAUCCGACUGCAUCAGAUUUUGUGAAACUGCUUUUUUUGGCCCAGGAUCUCAUGAAACUGUUUUUUCGUCGUACGGAAAACUUGUGCUAAAAAUUCAAAUGCACCAAAACUGCCCAAAUUUCAAGAAACUGCUGAUAUUGCCCGGAGAUAUUAGGUUAAAAAUCCGACUGCAUCAGAUUUUGUGAAACUGCUUUUUUUGGCCCAGGAUCUCAUGAAACUGCUAUUUUUCAUCGUCCGGGAAAACUUGUGCUAAUAAUUCGAAUGCACCAAAACUGCCCAAAAUUCAAGAAACUGCUAAUAUUGGCCCGGAGAUAUUAGGUUAAAAAUCCGACUGCAUCAGAUUUUGUGAAACUGCUUUUUUUGGCCCAGGAUCUCAUGAAACUGCUAUUUUUCGUUGUCCGGGAAAACUUGUGCUAAAAAUUCGAAUGCACCAAAACUGCCCAAAUUGAAGAAACUGCUAAUAUUGGACCGGGAGAUGUUAGGUUAAAAAUCCGACUGCAUCAGAUUUUGUGAAAUUGCUUUUUUUGGCCCAGGAUCUCAUGAAACUGCUCUUUUUCGUCGCCCGGGAAAACUUGCGCGAAAAAUUCGAAUGCACCAAAACUGGCCCAAAUUUCAAGAAACUGCUAAUAUUGGCCCGGGAGAUAUUAGGUUAAAAAUCCGACUGCAUCAGAUUUUGUGAAACUGCUUUUUUUGGCCCAGGAUCUCAUGAAACUGCUCUUUUUCGUCGUCCAGGGAAAACUUGUGCUAAUAAUUCAAAUGCACCAAAACUGCCACAAAAUUCAAGAAACUGCUAAUAUUGGCCGGAAGAUAUUAGGUUAAAAAUCCGACUGCAUCAGAUUUUGUGAAACUGCUUUUUUUGGCCCAGGAUCUCAUGAAACUGCUAUUUUUCGUCGUCUGGGAAAACUUGUGCUAAAUAUUCGAAUGCACCAAAACUGCCCUAUAUUCAAGAAACUGCUAAUAUUGACCCGUGAGAGUAGGUUAAAAUCGACAGUAUCAGAUUUUGAAUAUGCUAUUUGUGGCCGAGGACCUAAUGAAACAAAUAUUUUCGUCCUCGGCGAAAUGUAUGCUAAAAUUCGACGGCCAUAAAAUUCAAGAAACUGCUAAUAUUGGCCCGGAAGAUAUUAGGUUAAAAAUCCGACUGCAUCAGAUUUUGUGAAACUGCUUUUUUUGGCCCAGGAUCUCAUGAAACUGCUCUUUUUCGUCGCCCGGGAAAACUUGCGCGAAAAAUUCGAAUGCACCAAAACUGGCCCAAAUUUCAAGAAACUGCUAAUAUUGGCCCGGGAGAUAUUAGGUUAAAAAUCCGACUGCAUCAGAUUUUGUGAAACUGCUUUUUUUGGCCCAGGAUCUCAUGAAACUGCUAUUUUUCGUCGUACGAGAAAACUUGUGCUAAAAAUUCAUAUGCACCAAAACUGCCCAAAAUUCAAGAAACUGCUGAUAUUGCCCGGAGAUAUUAGGUUAAAAAUCUGACUGCAUCAGAUUUUGUGAAACUGCUUUUUUUGGCCCAGGAUCUCAUGAAACUGCUCUUUUUCGUCGCCCGGGAAAACUUGCGCGAAAAAUUCGAAUGCACCAAAGCUGGCCCAAAUUUCAAGAAACUGCUAAUAUUGGCCCGGGAGAUAUUAGGUUAAAAAUCCGACUGCAUCAGAUUUUGUGAAACUGCUUUUUUUGGCCCAGGAUCUCAUGAAACUGCUCUUUUUCAUCGUCCAGGAAAACUUGUGCUAAUAAUUCGAAUGCACCAAAACUGCCCAAAUUCAAGAAACUGCUAAUAUUGGCCGGAAGAUAUUAGGUUAAAAAUCCGACUGCAUCAGAUUUUGUGAAACUGCUUUUUUUGGCCCAGGAUCUCAUGAAACUGCUAUUUUUCGUCGUCCGGGAAAACUUGUGCUAAAUAUUCGAAUGCACCAAAACUACCCCAAAUUCAAGAAACUGCUAAUAUUGGCCCGGGUGAGAGUAGGUUAAAAAUCUGACUGCAUCAGAUUUUGUGAAACUGCUUUUUUGGGCCCAGGAUCUCAUGAAACUGCUCUUUUUCGUCGCCCGGGAAAACUUGCGCGAAAAAUUCGAAUGCACCAAAGCUGGCCCAAAUUUCAAGAAACUGCUAAUAUUGGCCCGGGAGAUAUUAGGUUAAAAAUCCGACUGCAUCAGAUUUUGUGAAACUGCUUUUUUUGGCCCAGGAACUCUUGAAACUGCUCUUUUUCAUCGUCCGGGAAAACUUGUGCUAAUAAUUCGAAUGCACCAAAACUGCCCAAAAAUUCAAGAAACUGCUAAUAUUGGGCCGGAAGAUAUUAGGUUAAAAAUCCGACUGCAUCAGAUUUUGUGAAACUGCUUUUUUUGGCCCAGGAUCUCAUGAAACUGUUAUUUUUCGUCGUACGAGAAAACUUGUGCUAAAAAUUCAUAUGCACCAAAACUGCCCUAAAUUUCAAGAAACUGCUGAUAUUGCCCCGGAGAUAUUAGGUUAAAAAUCCGACUGCACCAGAUUUUGUGAAACUGCUUUAUUUGGCCCAGGAUCUCAUGAAACUGCUAUUUUUCAUCGUCCGGGAAAACUUGUGCUAAUAAUUCGAAUGCACCAAAACUGCCCAAAAUUCAAGAAACUGCUAAUAUUGGCCGGAAGAUAUUAGGUUAAAAAUCCGACUGCAUCAGAUUUUGUGAAACUGCUUUUUUUGGCCCAGGAUCUCAUGAAACUGCUAUUUUUCGUUGUCCGGGAAAACUUGUGCUAAAUAUUCGAAUGCACCAAAACUGCCCCAAAUUGAAGAAACUGCUAAUAUUGGCCCGGGUGAGAGUAGGUUAAAAAUCUGACUGCAUCAGAUUUUGUGAAAUGCUUUUUUGGCCCAGGAUCUCAUGAAACUGCUCUUUUUCGUCGCCCGGGAAAACUUGCGCGAAAAAUUCGAAUGCACCAAAACUGGCCCAAAUUUCAAGAAACUGCUAAUAUUGGCCCGGGAGAUAUUAGGUUAAAAAUCCGACUGCAUCAGAUUUUGUGAAACUGCUUUUUUUGGCCCAGGAUCUCAUGAAACUGCUCUUUUUCAUCGUCCAGGAAAACUUGUGCUAAUAAUUCAAAUGCACCAAAACUGCCACAAAAUUCAAGAAACUGCUAAUAUUGGCCGGAAGAUAUUAGGUUAAAAAUCCGACUGCAUCAGAUUUUGUGAAACUGCUUUUUUUGGCCCAGGAUCUCAUGAAACUGCUAUUUUUCGUCGUCCGGGAAAACUUGUGCUAAAUAUUCGAAUGCACCAAAACUGCCCUAUAUUUCAAAAAACUGCUAAUAUUGGCCCGGGUGAGAGUAGGUUAAAAUUCCGACAGUAUCAGAUUUCAUGAAUAUGCUAUUUUUGGCCGAGGACCUAAUGAAACAAAUAUUUUCGUCCUCGGGCGAAAUGUAUGCUAAAAGUUCGACGGCCAUAAAAUUCAAGAAACUGCUAAUAUUGGCCGGAAGAUAUUAGGUUAAAAAUCCGACUGCAUCAGAUUUUGUGAAACUGCUUUUUUUGGCCCAGGAUCUCAUGAAACUGCUCUUUUUCGUCGCCCGGGAAAACUUGCGCGAAAAAUUCGAAUGCACCAAAACUGGCCCAAAUUUCAAGAAACUGCUAAUAUUGGCCCGGGAGAUAUUAGGUUAAAAAUCCGACUGCAUCAGAUUUUGUGAAACUGCUUUUUUUGGCCCAGGAUCUCAUGAAACUGCUAUUUUUCGUCGUACGAGAAAACUUGUGCUAAAAAUUCAUAUGCACCAAAACUGCCCCAAAUUCAAGAAACUGCUGAUAUUGCCCCGGAGAUAUUAGGUUAAAAAUCCGACUGCAUCAGAUUUUGUGAAACUGCUUUUUUUGGCCCAGGAUCUCAUGAAACUGCUAUUUUUCAUCGUCCGGGAAAACUUGUACUAAUAAUUCAAAUGCACAAAACUGCCCCAAAAUUCAAGAAACUGCUAAUAUUGGCCUGGGAGAUAUUAGGUUAAAAAUCCGACUGCAUCAGAUUUUGUGAAACUGUUUUUUUGGCCCAGCAUCUCAUGAAACUGCUCUUUUUCGUUGCCCGAGAAAACUUGCGCGAAAAAUUCGAAUGCACCAAAACUGGCCCAAAUUUCAAAAAACUGCUAAUAUUGGCCCGGAAGAUAUUAGGUUAAAAAUCCGACUGCAUCAGAUUUUGUGAAACUGCUUUUUUUGGCCCAGGAUCUCAUGAAACUACUCUUUUUCGUCGCCCGGGUACACUUGCGCGAAAAAUUCGAAUGCACCAAAACUGGCCCAAAUUUCAAGUGCUAAUAUUGGCCCGGGAGAUAUUAGGUUAAAAAUCCGACUGCAUCAGAUUUUGUGAAACUGCUUUUUUUGGCCCAGGAUCUCAUGAAACUGCUCUUUUUCAUCGUCUGGGAAAACUUGUGCUAAAAAUUCAAAUGCACCAAAACUGGCCCAAAAUUCAAGAAACUGCUAAUAUUGGCCCGGAAGAUAUUAGGUUAAAAAUCCGACUGCAUCAGAUUUUAUGAAACUGCUUUUUUUGGCCCAGGAUCUCAUGAAACUGCUCUUUUUCGUCGCUCGGGAAAACUUGCGCGAAAAAUUCGAAUGCACCAAAACUGGCACAAAUUUCAAGAAACUGCUAAUAUUGGCCCGGGAGAUAUUAGGUUAAAAAUCCGACUGCAUCAGAUUUUGUGAAACUGCUUUUUUUGGCCCAGGAAAUCAUGAAACUGCUCUUUUUCAUCGUCCGGGAAAACUUGUGCUAAUAAUUCAAAUGCACCAAAACUGCCCCAAAAUUCAAGAAACUGCUAAUAUUGGGCCGGAAGAUAUUAGGUUAAAAAUCCGACUGCAUCAGAUUUUGUGAAACUGCUUUUUUUGGCCCAGGAUCUCAUGAAACUGCUCUUUUUCGUCGCCCGGGAAAACUUGCGCGAAAAAUUCGAAUGCACCAAAACUGGCCCAAAUUUCAAGAAACUGCUAAUAUUGGCCCGGGAGAUAUUAGGUUAAAAAUCCGACUGCAUCAGAUUUUGUGAAACUGCUUUUUUUGGCCCAGGAUCUCAUGAAACUGCUCUUUUUCGUCGUCCGGGAAAACUUGUGCUAAUAAUUCAAAUGUGUAACGCUCUAAUCGUUAUUUAAUUAUUUUUGAUUGUGUGGUGUCAUUUUAUAUGGUUUUUGGUGAUUUAUGUGGUGUAUAUAUAUAUAUAUAUUUAUUAUAUUAUUAUUUUAUUAAAUAAUUAAAAUAAGAGGAGAAUAUAAUUAAUUAGAAUUUGGGGGUUAUGUCAUAAUUAAUAUAGUUAGUGGGGAGUUAAUUGCUAAUUAGGGGAGUUUCAUUUUGGGAGUUAAGAAAAGAAAAACAGAGAAAACGUUUUUACGUGAAAACAGACAAGUUUUGGGAGAAAAGCCAAGUGCAAGGGAGAGGAGCCUAGGAACCAAUUUCUGCUGUGUUAAUUCUGCAAUUCUAAGGUAAGGGUGAGGUUUACCGCAAUUUUAUAGGUUCUGAAUUCUGAUUUUGUUCUAACAGGUUUAUGUGAGAAUUGGGAGAAGUUAGGUUUUUUGUUGAUUAAUGGGUUCUGAGUGUAGGAAUUGUUAAAUUGAGGUUAGAAAUGGGUUCUGAGUGCAUAAAACCUUUCAUUGUACAUAUGUAAACUAAUUUGGGGAGUGAAUUGAGGAAAAAUGGGAUUUUUGGGAAAAACCUGCAUUCUGCCCGUACAGAAGUUCAUCGCUCGCCUCGCGAGUAGCCAUUGCUCGCCUUAGCGAGUGAACAACUUCAUCGCUCGCCUCGCGAGUGAUACAACUCGCCAUGGCGAGUAGCCUUGGGAAAAUCUGGAUUUUUAAAAUGUUGUUAUAAGCCGUAUCUUGCGUAGUUUCAUGUGCCUAGAGGAUUUUUAAGAGGACUAGAGCAAGUUUUAGGUUUAAAAGAUGAUUAGGGAGCUUAGAAUUGAGGUUUGAGUGAGAAAAUAUCAUUUUUCCCGAGAGCACCAUAUUUCUGUUCACCUCGAGUUCGCCUCGAACUCGCCAUGGCGAGUGCCUGAUUUUCCUGAGCUCGCCAUAGCGAGUAGAUGUGCUCGCGAGGCGAGCUACCCAGUAUUUUGUUGGUUUGAUUCUGUUGUUGUUGGAUGGUUUAUCUUGUUGAAUUAAGCAUGGCUUGUAUGUUGAUAUAUAUUUCCCUGGAUGUCCUGGUUGGUUAUGAUGAAUAGAUGCUGACUGAAUGUAUGUUGUAUUUAAUUAAAAAUUUACUUAAAUGUUGUAAGUUGGAUGGUGAAUCAUAUAUAUGUAUAUGUUUAGGUUGGUUGGUAUGUAGAUAUACUCAAGGGGAUUAGUUGCAUAAAGAUAACAGUGGGAGAGCUUCGGCUCUGGAACGCUUGGUCGUUCAAAGUGGUGGAGUACUAGUUACUCAAAGUGGUGUUAGUGGUGAGGACUUAUGUCCUGAUGAGAAUGCUUUAACCAUUCGACAGCGGUGUGGGUCACGGCCCUGAUUUUUGGUACCACAUGCAUGGGUGUUUAGAGGAGUCUUAGUGGAGUGGUGAUGGGUUGCAUAUGUUGUUGAGAGGGUUAUAAAUUAAUAUUGUUGGUGACAUGUGAAAUGAUGAUAUAUAUAUAUAUAUAUAUAUAUAUAUAUAUAUAUAUAUAUAUAUAACAUUGUUGAUGAAUUAUCUGAUAGGGUGUUAGAUUCAAUUGAUGAAUUCUUUACCUAUAUUUUGUUGUGAAUCUCACCCCUUCUGCUUGAAAAUGUUGCCCUUCCUAUGGGUAACUUGCAGGUGAUCCUGAGUAGUUGGUGGUGGCUCAAAGUGUCUAGGACUCUGAUAUGUGGGAUGGGAUUUAUAGUUUAAUUUCUACCUAUGUAUCAAUUUUUGGAACAAGUUUAUGUAGCCUAUGUUUAUUGUUGAACUUUUAUGUUGAGGCCUAUUGCCAAGAUUUAUUGUUGGAUAAUGGAGUUUAAUUUUGAAGAAUAUACCGCUGCAGAUUAAUGAAGUUUUAUGAAGGAUGUCGUUAAAUAGUUUUAAUCUAUUUAAGAAUUUAUGUUUAGUAGUGUGACAUGCCGUUUGGUGUUGAACUCUGAUUUUAUGAUUAUAAUUAAAUUGAUUUUGGGAAACGGGGUGUUACAAUUGGUAUCAGAGCAGGUUGGUCCGUCCGGCCAAGUAGUAGAGUCGUGUUGAGCCACCUAGGAUAGAGUGUCAACUCUAAUUUUGAUGUGUUGUUGUUGUUGUUCUGAAUUGUUGUUCAUUAUGUAGAAUCUUAAGAUGGCUGGUAGGAAUGAUGCUGCUAUUGCUGCUGCACUUGAGGCCGUAGCUCAAGCUGUUCAACAGCAACCGCAAGCUGGUAACGGAGAAGUGAGGAUGUUGGAGACCUUUUUGAUGAAUCAUCCCCCAGCAUUCAAAGGAAGGUAUGAUCCAGAUGGCGCCCAGUCAUGGUUGAAGGAAGUGGAGAGGAUUUUCAGAGUCAUGCAGUGCUCUGAAGUGCAAAAGGUGCGGUUCGGGACGCACAUGUUGGCUGAGGAGGCAGAUGACUGGUGGGUUAGUUUGCUACCAGUGUUGGAACAGAAUGGAGCUGUAGUGACCUGGGCGGUGUUCAGGAGGGAAUUUCUGAAUAGGUACUUUCCGGAAGAUGUCCGAGGUAGGAAGGAGAUCGAAUUUCUGGAGUUGAAGCAGGGUGAUAUGUCUGUUGUUGAAUAUGCUGCAAAAUUUGUGGAGCUUGCAAAGUUCUACCCCCAUUAUGCUCCGGAGACGGCUGAAUUCUCCAAGUGCAUAAAGUUUGAGAAUGGCUUGAGAGCUGACAUCAAGAGAGCCAUAGGAUACCAACAGAUUAGAAUUUUCUCUGAUUUGGUGAGUCACUGUAGGAUCUACGAGGAGGACACCAAAGCUCAUUAUAAGGUGAUGAGUGAGCGAAGAGGUAAGGGACAUCAGAAUCGUCCUAAACCAUACAGUGCCCCGUCUGACAAGGGUAAGCAGAGACUUAAUGAUGAGAGGAGGCCGAGUAAGAGGGAUGCUCCUGCUGAGAUAGUGUGUUUUAAGUGUGGCGAGAAAGGUCACAAGAGUAACAUUUGUACCAAGGAUGAGAAGAAGUGCUUCAGGUGUGGACAGAAGGGUCACAUGUUAGCCGAUUGCAAGCGCAGUGAUGUUGUAUGCUAUAAUUGUAAUGAAGAGGGUCACAUCAGUACUCAGUGCACACAGCCGAAGAAGGUUAGAGUUGGUGGAAAAGUUUUUGCUUUGACUGGUACACAGACUGCUAAUGAGGACCGUCUCAUCAGAGGUACUUGUUUCUUUAAUAGUACUCCUUUAAUUGCUAUUAUAGACACUGGUGCUACUCAUUGUUUCAUUGCUUUAGAAAGUGCAUAUAAGUUGGGUUUGAUUGUGUCUGACAUGAAAGGAGAAAUGGUUGUUGAAACUCCAGCUAAGGGUUCAGUGACUACUUCUCUUGUUUGCUUGAGGUGUCCAAUUUCUAUGUUUGGUAGGGAUUUUGAAGUAGACUUAGUUUGUUUGCCGUUGACGGGAAUGGAUGUUAUUUUGGGAUGAAUUGGUUAGAGUAUAACCGAGUUCAUAUCAACUGUUUUAGUAAGACGGUACAUUUUUCUUCCGCUGAAGAAGAGGGUGAAGUUGAGUUUUUGAAUACGAAGCAAAUGAAGCAGUUAGAACGUGAUGGAAUUCUGAUGUAUUCUCUAAUGGCAUAUCUGUCGUUAGAAAACCAAGCUGUAAUUGACAAGCUGGCAGUGGUGAAUGAGUUUCCGGAGGUGUUCCCUGAUGAGAUUUCCGAUGUGCCACCAGAGAGGGAGGUGGAGUUUUCAAUUGACCUUGUUCCCGGAACAAAGCCGGUGUCGAUGGCACCGUACCGUAUGUCAGCUUCUGAGUUAGCUGAAUUGAAGAAACAGUUGGAAGAUUUGGUUGAUAAGAAGUUUGUUAGACCCAAUGUUUCGCCGUGGGGAGCGCCUGUGUUGUUGGUGAUGAAAAAGGAUGGUAGUAUGAAGUUGUGCAUUGACUAUCGUCAAUUGAACAAAGUUACAAUUAAGAAUAGAUGUCCGCUUCCGAGGAUUGAUGACUUGAUGGACCAGCUAGUGGGUGCAAAGGUGUUCAGUAAGAUUGACUUGAGGUCAGGUUACCAUCAAAUUAAGGUGAAAGAUGAAGAUAUGCAGAAGACGGCCUUUAGGACACGAUACGGUCAUUACGAAUACAAAGUGAUGCCUUUCGGUGUUACUAACGCGCCCGGUGUGUUCAUGGAGUACAUGAAUCGAAUUUUUCAUACCUUUCUGGAUAAAUUCGUGGUGGUAUUUAUUGAUGAUAUUCUGAUUUAUUCGAAGACUGAAGAAGAGCAUGCAGAACACCUGAGAAUUGUGUUGCAAGUAUUGAAAGAAAAGAAGUUGUAUGCCAAAUUGUCGAAAUGUGAGUUUUGGCUAAGUGAAGUGAGUUUCCUUGGUCAUAUUAUUUCUGGUGAUGGUAUAGCGGUUGAUCCAUCAAAAUUUGAUGCAGUAUCACAAUGGGAGACUCCGAAGUCGGUGACUGAAAUCAGAAGCUUCUUGGGUUUGGCUGGUUAUUACCGCAGAUUUAUAGAAGGAUUUUCAAAGUUAGCAUUUCCGUUGACUCAGUUAACCUGUAAGGGUAAGUCCUUCGUGUGGGAUACUCAGUGUGAGAGUAGUUUCAAUGAAUUAAAGAAAAGAUUGACAACUGCUCCUAUUUUGAUCUUACCUAAGCCGGAAGAGCCAUUCGUUGUUUACUGUGAUGCGUCUAAGCUGGGUUUAGGAGGUGUUCUAAUGCAAGAUGGCAAGGUGGUAGCAUAUGCUUCUAGGCAACUGAGGGUGCAUGAAAAGAAUUAUCCCACUCACGAUUUGGAGUUAGCUGCGGUGGUUUUUGUUUUGAAAAUUUGGAGGCACUACUUGUAUGGUUCCAGAUUUGAAGUGUUCAGUGACCACAAGAGCUUGAAAUAUUUGUUUGAUCAGAAGGAAUUGAAUAUGAGGCAGAGGAGAUGGCUUGAGCUGUUAAAAGAUUAUGAUUUUGGGUUGAAUUACCAUCCGGGAAAAGCUAAUGUAGUCGCUGAUGCAUUGAGCAGGAAGACACUGCAUAUGUCUGCUAUGAUGAUAAAAGAAUUUGAAUUACUGGAACAGUUUAGAGACAUGAGUUUGGUAUGUGAGUUGUCGCCUCAAAGCGUACAGUUGGGGAUGCUAAAGAUUAACAGUGAUUUUCUGAGUAGUAUCCGAGAAGCACAGCAGGUGGAUGUCAAGUUGGUUGAUCUGAUGGUUGCUGGUAAUGGCAUUGAAGAUAGUGACUUCAAGGUUGACGAUCAGGGUGUGUUAAGAUUUAGAGGCAGAAUUUGUAUUCCUGAUAAUGAAGAAAUGAAAAAGUUAAUCCUAGAGGAAAGUCAUAAGAGUAGCUUGAGCAUUCAUCCGGGAGCUACGAAGAUGUAUCAUGAUUUGAAAAAGCUGUUUUGGUGGUCUGGGUUGAAGCGAGAUGUCGCUCAUUUUGUGUAUGCAUGUUUAACUUGCCAGAAGUCUAAGGUUGAACAUCAGAAACCUGCAGGAUUGUUGACACCGUUGGAUGUACCAGAAUGGAAAUGGGAUAGCAUUUCUAUGGAUUUUGUGACGAGUUUACCAAACACUCAGAGGGGACAUGAUUCGAUUUGGGUUGUGGUUGAUAGGUUGACGAAGUCGGCACAUUUUAUUCCUAUCAACAUCAGUUAUCCAGUAGCUCAGUUGGCUGAGAUUUAUAUACAUAGUGUUGUGAAGCUACAUGGAGUUCCUUCGAGUAUUGUGUCGGAUAGGGAUCCGAGGUUCACUUCUAGGUUCUGGAAGAGUUUACAGGACGCUUUGGGUUCGAAGUUGAGACUGAGUUCGGCUUAUCAUCCUCAGACAGAUGGUCAGUCGGAGAGGACGAUCCAAUCAUUGGAAGACUUGUUGAGAGUGUGUGUGCUUGAACAGGGUGGAGCUUGGGAUAGUCACCUGCCAUUGAUAGAGUUCACCUACAACAACAGUUACCAUUCGAGUAUAGGAAUGGCACCAUUCGAAGCUUUGUAUGGUCGAAGGUGCAGAACUCCGUUGUGCUGGUUUGAGUCAGGGGAGAGUGUUGUGUUGGGACCGGAUUUGGUUCAGGAGACUACAGAAAAAGUCAAGAUGAUCAGAGAGAAGAUGAAAGUGUCGCAGAGUCGACAGAAGAGUUACCACGACAAGCGGAGAAAGGCCCUUGAGUUUCAAGAGGGUGAUCAUGUAUUUCUAAGAGUUACUCCGAUGACGGGUGUAGGACGUGCUUUGAACUCGAGAAAGUUGACUCCGAAGUUCAUUGGUCCGUAUCAGAUUUCAGAGAGGAUCGGGACGGUGGCAUAUAGAGUUGGCUUGCCACCACACCUAUCGAACUUGCAUGAUGUGUUUCACGUGUCACAACUUCGGAAGUAUGUAGCAGAUCCUUCGCAUGUUAUUCCGAGAGAUGAUGUGCAGGUUAGGGACAAUCUCACAGUUGAGACCUUGCUGGUGAGGAUCGAUGAUCGGAAAGUAAAGGCAUUGAGGGGCAAGGAAAUACCCUUGGUGAGAGUCGUUUGGGGCGGAGCGACUGGUGAAAGUUUGACUUGGGAGCUGGAAAGUAAGAUGAGGGAUUCAUAUCCUGAGUUGUUUGUUUGAGGUAAGAUUUCGAGGACGAAAUUCAGUAAUUUGGGGAGAGUUGUAACGCUCUAAUCGUUAUUUAAUUAUUUUUGAUUGUGUGGUGUCAUUUUAUAUGGUUUUUGGUGAUUUAUGUGGUGUAUAUAUAUAUAUAUUUAUUAUAUGAUUAUUUUAUUAAAUAAUUAAAAUAAGAGGAGAAUAUAAUUAAUUAGAAUUUGGGGGUUAUGUCAUAAUUAAUAUAGUUAGUGGGGAGUUAAUUGCUAAUUAGGGGAGUUACAUUUUGGGAGUUAAGAAAAGAAAAACAGAGAAAACGUUUUUACGUGAAAACAGACAAGUUUUGGGAGAAAAGCCAAGUGCAAGGGAGAGGAGCCUAGGAACCAAUUUCUGCUGUGUUAAUUCUGCAAUUCUAAGGUAAGGGUGAGGUUUACCGCAAUUUUAUAGGUUCUGAAUUCUGAUUUUGUUCUAACAGGUUUAUGUGAGAAUUGGGAGAAGUUAGGUUUUUUGUUGAUUAAUGGGUUCUGAGUGUAGGAAUCGUUGAAUUGAGGUUAGAAAUGGGUUCUGAGUGCAUAAAACCUUUCAUUGUACAUCUGUAAACUAAUUUGGGGAGUGAAUUGAGGAAAAAUGGGAUUUUUGGGAAAAACCUGUAUUCUGCCCGUACAGAAGUUCAUCGCUCGCCUCGCGAGUAGCCAUUGCUCGCCUUAGCGAGUGAACAACUUCAUCGCUCGCCUCGCGAGUGAUACAACUCGCCAUGGCGAGUAGCCUUGGGAAAAUCUGGAUUUUUAAAAUGUUGUUAUAAGCCGUAUCUUGGGUAGUUUCAUGUGCCUAGAGGAUUUUUAAGAGGACUAGAGCAAGUUUUAGGUUUAAAAGGUGAUUAGGGAGCUUAGAAUUGAGGUUUGAGUGAGAAAAUAUCAUUUUUCCCGAGAGCACCAUAUUUCUGUUCGCCUCGAACUCGCCAUGGCGAGUGCCUGAUUUUCCUGAGUUCGCCAUAGCGAGUAGAUGUGCUCGCGAGGCGAGCUACCCAGUAUUUUGUUGGUUUGAUUCUGUUGUUGUUGGAUGGUUUAUCUUGUUGAAUUAAGCAUGGCUUGUAUGUUGAUAUAUAUUUCCCUGGAUGUCCUGGUUGGUUGUGAUCAAUAGAUGCUGACUGAAUGUAUGUUGUAUUUAAUUAAAAAUUUACUUAAAUGUUGUAAGUUGGAUGGUGAAUCAUAUAUAUGUAUAUGUUUAGGUUGGUUGGUAUGUAGAUAUACUCAAGGGGAUUAGUUGCAUAAACAUAACAGUGGGAGAGCUUCGGCUCUGGAACGCUUGGUCGUUCAAAGUGGUGGAGUACUUGUUACUCAAAGUGGUGUUAGUGGUGAGGACUUAUGUCCUGAUGAGAAUGCUUUAACCAUUCGACAGCGGUGUGGGUCACGGCCCUGAUUUUUGGUACCACAUGCAUGGGUGUUUAGAGGAGUCUUAGUGGAGUGGUGAUGGGUUGAAUAUGUUGUUGAGAGGGUUAUAAAUUAAUAUUGUUGGUGACAUGUGAAAUGAUGAUAUAUAUAUAUAUAUAUAUAUAUAUAUAUAUAUAUAUAUAACAUUGUUGAUGAAUUAUCUGAUAGGGUGUUAGAUUCAAUUGAUGCAUUCUUUACCUAUAUUUUGUUGUGAAUCUCACCCCUUCUGCUUGAAAAUGUUGCCCUUCCUAUGGGUAACUUGCAGGUGAUCCUGAGUAGUUGGUGGUGGCUCAAAGUGUCUAGGACUCUGAUACGUGGGAUGGGAUUUAUAGUUUAAUUUCUACCUAUGUAUCAAUUUUUGGAACAAGUUUAUGUAGCCUAUGUUUAUUGUUGAACUUUUAUGUUGAGGCCUAUUGCCAAGAUUUAUUGUUGGAUAAUGGAGUUUAAUUUUGAAGAAUAUACCGCUGCAGAUUAAUGAAGUUUUAUGAAGGAUGUCGUUAAAUAGUUUUAAUCUAUUUAAGAAUUUAUGUUUAGUAGUGUGACAUGCCGUUUGGUGUUAAACUCUGAUUUUAUGAUUAUAAUUAAAUUGAUUUUGGGAAACGGGGUGUUACAAAAUGCACCAAAACUGCCCCAAAAUUCAAGAAACUGCUAAUAUUGGCCCGGAAGAUAUUAGGUUAAAAAUCCGACUGCAUCAGAUUUUGUGAAACUGCUUUUUUUGGCCCAGGAUCUCAUGAAACUGCUAUUUUUCGUCGUCCGGGAAAACUUCUGUUAAAUAUUCGAAUGCACCAAAACUGCCCCAAAAUUCAAGAAACUGCUAAUAUUGGCCCGGGUGAGAGUAGGUUAAAAAUCUGACUGCAUCAGAUUUUGUGAAACUGCUUUUUUUGGCCUAGGCAAUCAUGAAACUGCUCUUUUUCGUCGUUGGGGGAAAACUUGUGCUAAAAAUUUGAAUGCACCAAAACUGCCCUAUAUUUCAAAAAUCUGCUAAUAUUGGCCCCGGGUAAGAGUAGGUUAAAAUUCCGACAGUAUCAGAUUUCAUGAAUAUGCUAUUUUUGGUCGAGGACCUAAUGAAACAAAAAUUUUCGUCCUCGGGCGAAAUGUAUGCUAAAAGUUCGACGGCCAUAAAAUUCAAGAAACUGCUAAUAUUGGCCCGGAAGAUAUUAGGUUAAAAAUCCGACUGCAUCAGAUUUUGUGAAACUGCUUUUUUUGGCCCAGGAUCUAAUGAAAAUGCUCUUUUUCGUCGCCCGGGAAAACUUGCGCAAAAAAUUCGAAUGCACCAAAACUGACCCAAAAUUCAAGAAACUGCUAAUAUUGACCCGGGAGAUAUUAGGUUAAAAAUCCGACUGCAUCAGAUUUUUUGAAACUGCUUUUUUUGGCCCAGGAUCUCAUGAAACUGCUCUUUUUCGUCGCUAGUGAAAACUUGCGCGAAAAAUUCGAAUGCACGAAAACUGACCCAAAAUUCAAGAAACUGCUAAUAUUGACCCGGGAGAUAUUAGGUUAAAAAUCCAACUGCAUCAGAUUUUGUGAAACUGCUUUUUUUGGCCCAGGAUCUCAUGAAACUGCUCUUUUUCGUCAUACGGGAAAACUUGUGCUAAAAUUCAAAUGCACCAAAACUGCCCCAAAAUUCAAGAAACUGCUGAUAUUGCCCCGGAGAUAUUAGGUUAAAAAUCCGACUGCAUCAGAUUUUGUGAAACUGCUUUUUUUGGCCCAGGAUCUCAUGAAACUACUAUUUUUCGUCGUCCGGGAAAACUUGUGCUAAUAAUUCAAAUGCACAAAAACUGCCCCAAAAUUCAAGAAACUGCUAAUAUUGGCCCGGGAGAUAUUAGGUUAAAAAUCCGACUGCAUCAGAUUUUGUGAAACUGCUUUUUUUGGCCCAGGAUCUCAUGAAACUGCUCUUUUUCGUCGCCCGGGAAAACAUGCGCGAAAAAUUCGAAUGCACCAAAACUGGCCCAAAUUUCAAGAAACUGCUAAUAUUGGCCCGGGAGAUAUUAGGUUAAAAAUCCGACUGCAUCAGAUUUUGUGAAACUGCUUUUUUUGGCCCAGGAUCUCAUGAAACUGCUAUUUUUCGUCGUACGAGAAAACUUGUGCUAAAAAUUCAUAUGCACCAAAACUGCCCCAAAAUUCAAGAAACUGCUGAUAUUGCCCGGAGAUAUUAGGUUAAAAAUCCGACUGCAUCAGAUUUUGUGAAACUGCUUUUUUUGGCCCAGGAUCUCAUGAAACUGCUAUUUUUCAUCGUCCGAGAAAACUUGUGCUAAUAAUUCAAAUGCACAAAAACUGCCCCAAAAUUCAAGAAACUGCUAAUAUUGGCCCGGGAGAUAUUAGGUUAAAAAUCCGACUGCAUCAGAUUUUGUGAAACUGCUUUUUUUGGCCCAGGAUCUCAUGAAACUGCUCUUUUUCGUCGCCCGAGAAAACUUGCGCGAAAAAUUCGAAUGCACAAAAACUGGCCCAAAUUUCAAGAAACUGCUAAUAUUGGCCCGGAAGAUAUUAGGUUAAAAAUCCGACUGCAUCAGAUUUUGUGAAACUGCUUUUUUUGGCCUAGGAUCUCAUGAAACUGCUCUUUUUCGUCGCCCGGGAAAACUUGCGCGAAAAAUUCGAAUGCACCAAAACUGGCCCAAAUUUCAAGAAACUGCUAAUAUUGGCCCGGGAGAUAUUAGGUUAAAAAUCCGACUGCAUCAGAUUUUGUGAAACUGCUUUUUUGGCCCAGGAUCUCAUGAAACUGCUCUUUUUCGUCGUCCGGGAAAACUUGUGCUAAUAAUUCAAAUGCACCAAAACUGCCCCAAAAUUCAAGAAACUGCUGAUAUUGCCCCGGAGAUAUUAGGUUAAAAAUCCGACUGCAUCAGAUUUUGUGAAACUGCUUUAUUUGGCCCAGGAUCUCAUGAAACUGCUAUUUUUCAUCGUCCGAGAAAACUUGUGCUAAUAAUUCAAAUGCACAAAAACUGCCCCAAAAUUCAAGAAACUGCUAAUAUUGGCCCGGGAGAUAUUAGGUUAAAAAUCCGACUGCAUCAGAUUUUGUGAAACUGCUUUUUUUGGCCCAGCAUCUCAUGAAACUGCUCUUUUUCGUCGCCCGAGAAAACUUGCGCGAAAAAUUCGAAUGCACAAAAACUGGCCCAAAUUUCAAGAAACUGCUAAUAUUGGCCCGGAAGAUAUUAGGUUAAAAAUCCGACUGCAUCAGAUUUUGUGAAACUGCUUUUUUUGGCCUAGGAUCUCAUGAAACUGCUCUUUUUCGUCGUCCGGGAAAACUUAUGCUAAAUAUUCGAAUGCACCAAAACUGCCCCAAAAUUCAAGAAACUGCUAAUAUUGGCCCGGAAGAUAUUAGGUUAAAAAUCCGACUGCAUCAGAUUUUGUGAAACUGCUUUUUUUGGCCCAGGAUCUCAUGAAACUGCUAUUUUUCGUCGUCCGGGAAAACUUGUGCUAAAUAUUCGAAUGCACCAAAACUGCCCCAAAAUUCAAGAAACUGCUAAUAUUGGCCCCGGGUGAGAGUAGGUUAAAAAUCUGACUGCAUCAGAUUUUGUUAAACUGCUUUUUUUGGCCUAGGCAAUCAUGAAACUGCUCUUUUUCGUCGUUGGGGGAAAACUUGUGCUAAAAAUUCGAAUGCACCAAAACUGCCCUAUAUUUCAAAAAACUGCUAAUAUUGGCCCGGGAGAUAUUAGGUUAAAAUUCCGACAGUAUCAGAUUUCAUGAAUAUGCUAUUUUUGGUCGAGGACCUAAUGAAACUAAUAUUUUCGUCCUCGGGCGAAAUGUAUGCUAAAAGUUCGACGGCCAUAAAAUUCAAGAAACUACUAAUAUUGGCCCGGAAGAUAUUAGGUUAAAAAUCCGACUGCAUCAGAUUUUGUGAAACUGCUUUUUUUUGCCCAGGAUCUCAUGAAACUGCUAUUUUUCGUCGUCCGGGAAAACUUAUGCUAAAUAUUCGAAUGCACCAAAACUGCCCCAAAAUUCAAGAAACUGCUAAUAUUGGCCCGGAAGAUAUUAGGUUAAAAAUCCGACUGCAUCAGAUUUUGUGAAACUGCUUUUUUUGGCCCAGGAUCUCAUGAAACUGCUAUUUUUCGUCGUCCGGGAAAACUUGUGCUAAAAAUUCGAAUGCACCAAAACUGCCCCAAAAUUCAAGAAACUGCUAAUAUUGGACCUGCGUGAGAGUAGGUUAAAAAUCCGACUGCAUCAGAUUUUGUUAAACUGCUUUUUUUGGCCUAGGCAAUCAUGAAACUGCUCUUUUUCGUCGUUGGGGAAAACUUGUGCUAAAAAUUCGAAUGCACCAAAACUGCCCUAUAUUUCAAAAAACUGCUAAUAUUGGCCCCGGUCGAGAGUAGGUUAAAAUUCCGACAGUAUCAGAUUUCAUGAAUAUGCUAUUUUUGGGCGAGGACCUAAUGAAACAAAUAUUUUCGUCCUCGGGCGAAAUGUAUGCUAAAAGUUCGACGGCCAUAAAAUUCAAGAAACUGCUAAUAUUGGCCCGGAAGAUAUUAGGUUAAAAAUCCGACUGCAUCAGAUUUUGUGAAACUGCUUUUUUUGGCCCAGGAUCUCAUGAAACUGCUCUUUUUCGUCGCUCGGGAAAACUUGCGUGAAAAAUUCGAAUGCACCAAAACUGACCCAAAAUUCAAGAAACUGCUGAUAUUGCCCCGGGAGAUAUUAGGUUAAAAAUCCGACUGCAUCAGAUAUUGUGAAACUGCUUUUUUUGGCCCAGGAUCUCAUGAAACUGCUAUUUUUCAUCGUCCGAGAAAACUUGUCCUAAUAAUUCAAAUGCACAAAAACUGCCCCAAAAUUCAAGAAACUGCUGAUAUUGCCCCGGAGAUAUUAGGUUAAAAAUCCGAUUGCAUCAGAUUUUGUGAAACUGCUUUUUUUGGCCCAGGAUCUCAUGAAACUGCUAUUUUUCAUCGUCCGGGAAAACUUGUGCUAAUAAUUCAAAUGCACCAAAACUGCCCCAAAAUUCAAGAAACUGCUAAUAUUGGCCCGGAAGAUAUUAGGUUAAAAAUCCGACUGCAUCAGAUUUUGUGAAACUGUUUUUUUUGGCCCAGCAUCUCAUGAAACUGCUCUUUUUCGUCGCCCGAGAAAACUUGCGCGAAAAAUUCGAAUGCACCAAAACUGGCCCAAAUUUCAAAAAACUGCUAAUAUUGGCUCGGAAGAUAUUAGGUUAAAAAUCCGACUGCAUCAGAUUUUGUGAAACUGCUUUUUUUGGCCCAGGAUCUCAUGAAACUGCUCUUUUUCGUCGCCCGGGAAAACUUGCGCGAAAAAUUCGAAUGCACCAAAACUGGCCCAAAUUUCAAGAAACUGCUAAUAUUGGCCCGGGAGAUAUUAGGUUAAAAAUCCAACUGCAUCAGAUUUUGUGAAACUGCUUUUUUUGGCCCAGGAUCUCAUGAAACUGCUAUUUUUCGUCGUACGAGAAAACUUGUGCUAAAAAUUCAUAUGCACCAAAACUGCCCCAAAAUUCAAGAAACUGCUGAUAUUGCCCCGGAGAUAUUAGGUUAAAAAUCCGACUGCACCAGAUUUUGUGAAACUGCUUUUUUUGGCCCAGGAUCUCAUGAAACUACUAUUUUUCGUCGUCCGGGAAAACUUGUGCUAAAUAUUCGAAUGCACCAAAACUGCCCCAAAAUUCAAGAAACUGCUAAUAUUGGCCCCGGGUGAGAGUAGGUUAAAAAUCUGACUGCAUCAGAUUUUGUUAAACUGCUUUUUUUGGCCUAGGCAAUCAUGAAACUGCUCUUUUUCGUCGUUGGGGAAAACUUGUGCUAAAAAUUCGAAUGCACCAAAACUGCCCUAUAUUUCAAAAAACUGCUAAUAUUGGCCCCGGGUGAGAGUAGGUUAAAAUUCCGACAGUAUCAGAUUUCAUGAAUAUGCUAUUUUUGGUCGAGGACCUAAUGAAACAAAUAUUUUCGUCCUCGGGCGAAAUGUAUGCUAAAAGUUCGACGGCCAUAAAAUUCAAGAAACUGCUAAUAUUGGCCCGGAAGAUAUUAGGUUAAAAAUCCGACUGCAUCAGAUUUUGUGAAACUGCUUUUUUUGGCCCAGGAUCUCAUGAAAUUGCUCUUUUUCGUCGCCUGGGAAAACUUGCGCGAAAAAUUCGAAUGCACCAAAACUGGCCCAAAUUUCAAGAAACUGCUAAUAUUGGCCCGGGAGAUAUUAGGUUAAAAAUC